CCUACGGGGGGCUGCAGUGGGGAAUAUUGGACAAUGGAGGGAACCCUGAUCCAGCCAUGCCGCGUGUGUGAAGAAGGCCCUCGGGUUGUAAAGCACUUUCAGUGAGGAAGAACGCCUGGUGGUUAAUACCCAUCAGGAAAGACAUCACUCACAGAAGAAGCACCGGCUAACUCCGUGCCAGCAGCCGCGGUAAUACGGAGGGUGCGAGCGUUAAUCGGAAUUACUGGGCGUAAAGCGCGCGUAGGUGGCUUGAUAAGCCGGUUGUGAAAGCCCCGGGCUCAACCUGGGAACGGCAUCCGGAACUGUCAAGCUAGAGUGCAGGAGAGGAAGGUAGAAUUCCCGGUGUAGCGGUGAAAUGCGUAGAGAUCGGGAGGAAUACCAGUGGCGAAGGCGGCCUUCUGGACUGACACUGACACUGAGGUGCGAAAGCGUGGGUAGCAAACAGGAUUAGAUACCCCGGUAGUC
rnacentral:rRNA from 1 species